CAACAGGGAUUGCCCUAGUAACGGCGAGUGAAGCGGCAACAGCUCAAAUUUGAAAUCUGGCUUCGGCCCGAGUUGUAAUUUGCAGAGGAUGCUUCUGGCGCGGUGCCUUCCGAGUUCCCUGGAACGGGACGCCACAGAGGGUGAGAGCCCCGUAUGGUCGGACACCAAGCCUGUGUGAAGCUCCUUCGACGAGUCGAGUAGUUUGGGAAUGCUGCUCUAAAUGGGAGGUAAAUCUCUUCUAAAGCUAAAUACCGGCCAGAGACCGAUAGCGCACAAGUAGAGUGAUCGAAAGAUGAAAAGCACCUUGAAAAGGGGGUUAAAUAGUACGUGAAAUUGUUGAAAGGGAAGCACUUAUGACCAGACUUGGGCCGGGCGGCUCAUCAGGGGUUCUCCCCUGUGCAUUCCGCCCGGCACAGGCCAGCAUCGGUUUUCGCGGGGGGAUAAGACCGGCGGGAACGUAGCACCCUCCGGGGUGUGUUAUAGCCCACCGGACGAUACCCUCGCGGGGACCGAGGUCCGCGCUCCGCAAGGAUGC
rnacentral:rRNA from 1 species